UGGUUUCUCGAAACCUGCAAAAGAGAACGUUAGCCAUUUUAGUACGCCGACUGGAUUCAAUUUACAUUAACUGAACAACUGCGUUAUCUGGACACCUAGCUAGUGUAACUGGGGCUUAGCCGAGCUUGCUAGCUAAAUCAGUCAAUUUAGGCGCCGUAAACUAAAUAUAAUCAUAUCACAGCUCCCAAACGGAUUACUUUUCAGUAUUAGGGGCUUAGUAGCUACAUGCCUGAGAAGGCAGCUAAAGCUUCAGCUCUCUGUUUGACCUUGAGGGUGGCAUGCGAUUCUUCCUACCAACCAGAAGAGUUUAGGCUGUCAACGAAUGUUGCAACCCACAUGGUCACCUGAUGCGCUUUGCCUGACCAUCGGACUCUGAUGCCACUGUGAAGAUUGAAAAUGUCGUCUCUGCAAAUUUGUGCCAUCUGUUUGGCUCCGUAUCUAUGCGCCGCGAGCGCUCUCAGACGCUCCAGAUUUCAUAUAGCACAACGGCAUGAGGCCGCUAAUUAGCGCGCGCAGCAUGUUGCCUGGCUACUAUGAAGCUGAGAACCUUC